UAUUAAUAUAUUAAGUGGCUUUAAACCAAUUAAAAUAUACACUAAGUAAAUAUAAAUUAUAUAUUAAGUAUAUAAAAUAACUUCAUAAAGAUCUAGCCUGGUGCACUUUGGAAUAGGGGAGUGGUGUCAGAACAACAUGACCCUGCAAUUCUGCAGAACAAGUGCAAAGUAAGAUCUUUGCUUCAGCAACAAACAGAAGCUACUAAAGUAGCUGAAAUGUGCAAUAUGCCUAGAAAAAUUGGCAGAUAUGAGCAAAAUAAAUUUGGAAGUUACAAAGGCUUGGAGAACAAAAUGAGUAAAAGAAAUCCUUGGGUUUGAUGAGAAUGUUGUAAUUUGAGUUGAGCCAAUCGAUUGGAAGUGAAGGACUGAACCAAAAUGGAAGAUAUUCCUUGUACCUGAAGUACAUAGUACCGUCACUUUAUUAGGUUAUAGCAGAGUGAGCAUCCCAUUGUGGCUCUGGCCCAACUCCCUUGGGUAUAUUUGGAGAAUCCAGAACCCAGAAUUAUGAAAAUCAACCUGAUGGAGCUUUUGAAUGGAAAAUAAAGUGCUAGAGAGUUAAGUUUAUGGGAGAACUGUGGCCCAUCAUCCUACAAGACCAUCUGCUUUCCCAGACCUAAAGAAGAAAUAAAACAGAGACAGAAUGAAAAACAGGCAUCUAUGAAAAGGCAAGAUGAAAACAAAGAUAAGAGAGCAAGAUGAAAACAAAGAUAAGAGAGAUAAGGAAGAAAAAGCAGCUGAGGGACGCCUGGGUGGCUCAGUCAGUUAGGCACUCUACUUCGGCUCAGGUCACAAUCUCACAGUUCACGAGUUCCAGCCCCACAUUGGGCUCUGUGCUGACAGCUCAGAGCCUGAAGCCUGCUUUGGAUUAUGUGUUUCCCUCUCUCUCUGCCCUUCCCUAACUCAUGCACGUCUGCAUGCGCGCGCGCGCGCGCGCACACACACACACACACACACACACACUCUCUCUCUCUCUCAAAAAUAAACAUAAAAAAUUAAAAAAAAGAAAAAGCAGCAGAGAGAAAAGGGAGAGAAUGCUUCUUGAAACCCCAAAAGACUCUAAUCCAUGUCUCCUUUCCCUAGAAGACAAUCCUGCCCAGUCAUGAGAUAACGUGUAGUCAUGUUCAACCUUCCCAUCAGAACCAAGAGCCAAGGACCAAGAAUCCUUCCUUGCUCCAGGAAAAUAGAAAACUCCAGCACUCUCAGAACCUUUAGGAACAAUAAAAAGAACCUUCAGUACAAGUCACCACUUCUACUGGUGACAUCCUAAAGUUCCCCUGCCGAAACCUGUACCAGAGCCUAUGAAACUUUUCAGAGGGAUGGGGGAGGAAAGGAAAAGGAAAAAAAGACGACUUGACCAAGAUCUCACUCUCCUCAUACUCCACCUAGAGGGUGCACAGAUCCCAUCACGAUUAUAUUCAUCUAGAAGACCGCCAUGCCUGAGGAGGUGGCAAUCUAUUUCCCUGAAGAACUCCACCAAGGCUUAGAAGGGAAAGCUCUCCAGUGAGACACAAAAAAGGAUUCAUCAGCAUCCUUGUCUAGGAGUAGCUCAUUGUCCACUUUGUCUUGUCCAAUCAGAAAGAAGCCUCCCAAGAGAGCAUCCAGGUCCCUCAAAAACUUGUAGGUUAUAUCCUUCAGCAAGCCCUCCAACGUGAAGACACCGGCCAACACCUCCAGCAACUCCACCGCCAAAAAUUCAACAUUCCCCAACACCCCAGCAGCCAGGCUAUAUCAGAAAAACUCGUGUUUCUGUAUCUCCAAGGAGAACUUCAGGUAAAGUGACAAAAUAUAAAGGUAAUAAGCAAAGAGGCCCUCUCGUCAGCCAUGAAGUGGAGAAAAGUAGAAUUUUCUGAAUCUAAACACCGUAACGGUGGCGAAAUGGCUGCUGCAGAUUCUGUGCAGUAGAGACACCAAACCAGAUGACAAAACCAGCAGUUUUCAUCUGACUCUGUUCCUCCUCUUCAGAAAAUAAUGAUGAGUUACUUACUGAAGAGGUCCCAUUUGAGAAAUGGUGAGGUAGGUGACUUCGAGGAAGGCCUUUCUCACCACGCAAGCAAAAGGGGAAGGAAGAGGGUUUCCUUGAAGUAGAGGAAGUCCCUCCUCUCACCCAGUAAAGGACUCCAUUUUCCUUCUCUCUCUCCUCCUCACAGGUGCUGGUCUUCCAUAACACUACGAAGGGAAGCACCCCCUUCUCGUACCCCACAUCAGUAUUCAACAUUCCCAAGAAUGGUCUCCUCUAAAGCACAGGAGAUACCCUUCUACUCCCCAUCUUAAAAAAGGGCAUCACUAUGUCCACCCAAAGCACAGGGGCUCCCAUUCUUCACCUCUCAAAGAAGUCACCACGACACUUUGCAUUGGUAUCAAAGCAUAGGAAAAGGUCUUCCCUGAGCCAAUCUACCUGGGAACAGCAUUCCAUCUCCUGGUGGUCUCUAGCUCUGCAGACCUCAAGUCCUUAUCCCCAUUUGGCUCAGUCUCCUGAGCCAGUAGCUAAAAACCCCAAGCACCUCCAUUCCCUGUCCAGUCUUAGUCACCCUGUCUAAGCACGUCACCUUUGUUACGGAUCAAAGACUAAAAGCCUACCAUCAGACCCAACACUGGCAAGGAAUUCCAAAGAAGGGUAUAGAAAGAAAAAAAAGAAAAAGAAAGAAAAAAAGCACAAGAACCACAAAAGGAUAAAAGGAGUAAAACAAGCAGAAAAAAAAAAAAACAGAAGGAAGAGGCUAUGGCUGCAGCUGCUACAGCUAUUUUAAUUCCUGCAGCCAUUGCUGUUCCCACAGCCACAUCAGCACAGGAAGAACGAGGAGCAGAGCCAGAGACUAAGGAGACUUAAAGUGAAGCUGAGGAUAACCUUGAUAACUUUAAAAUCACCUGUGUAGGCCCUGAGAUCAAUGUGGAAAGUUCAAGUGUCUCCAGUCAUAGAUGGAAAUGUCUGUCAUUAUGUAAAGUUUAUUUGGUCUGUAUGCAACUCAAUACUGAAAUAGCAAAAAUGUGUUUGAACUUUAUAACAUUUGUUGUAAUAAAUGAUAAGUUGAAGUCAGUGAUGUUAAUACAUGGGGGAGAGGGCUCCUGGGUGGCUCAGUCCGUUAAGCCACCACUGAUCAUGACCUGAGCUGAAACCAAGAGUUAGAUGCUUAACCAGCUGAGCCACCCAGGUGCCCCAAAAUCUAUAUAUGUUUAAAAUAAAACUCUAAAGAAAUUAGGAAUAAAAGGAAAUUUCCUUAAAGGACAUCUAACAAACAAAAAAUAAAACAAAAAUAAAAUAGCAAUUAUAUUUGAUAGUGAAAAGAUGGGUAAAACAAAGAUGCCCACUGUAUUAUUUAUGUCAUGCUGUGUAAUGUACUACCCUAAAACAAUAAACAUUUUUACAUCA